rnacentral:rRNA from 1 species
AAUCAACGCUGGCGGCGUGCCUCAGACAUGCAAGUCGAACGAUUAAAGCUCUCUUCGGAGAGUGCAUAGAGUGGCGCACGGGUGAGUAACACGUAAGUAAUCUACCUUCGAGUGGGGAAUAACAACCGGAACGGUUGCUAAUACCGCAUAAUGCAGCGGCAUCGCAAGAUGACAGUUGUUAAAGGAGCAAUUCGCUUGAAGAGGAGCUUGCGGCAGAUUAGCUAGUUGGUAAGGUAAUGGCUUACCAAGGCUACGAUCUGUAACCGGUCUUAGAGGACGGUCGGUCACACUGACACUGGAACAACGGGUCAGACUCCUACGGGAGGCAGCAGUCGGGAAUUUUGGGCAAUGGGCGAAAGCCUGACCCAGCAACGCCGCGUGAAGGAUGAAGUAUUUCGGUAUGUAAACUUCGAAAGAAUGGGAAGAAUAAAUGACGGGUACCAUUUAUAAGGUCCGGCUAACU